GAUGAACGCUGGCGGCGUGCCUAAUACAUGCAAGUCGAGCGAACGGACGAGAAGCUUGCUUCUCUGAUGUUAGCGGCGGACGGGUGAGUAACACGUGGAUAACCUACCUAUAAGACUGGGAUAACUUCGGGAAACCGGAGCUAAUACCGGAUAAUAUUUUGAACCGCAUGGUUCAAAAGUGAAAGACGGUCUUGCUGUCACUUAUAGAUGGAUCCGCGCUGCAUUAGCUAGUUGGUAAGGUAACGGCUUACCAAGGCAACGAUGCAUAGCCGACCUGAGAGGGUGAUCGGCCACACUGGAACUGAGACACGGUCCAGACUCCUACAGGAGGCAGCAGUAGGGAAUCUUCCGCAAUGGGCGGAAGCCUGACGGAGCAACGCCGCGUGAGUGAUGAAGGUCUUCGGAUCGUAAAACUCUGUUAUUAGUGAAGAACAUAUGUGUAAGUAACUGUGCACAUCUUGACGGUACCUAAUCAGAAAGCCACGGCUAACUACGUG
rnacentral:rRNA from 1 species